rnacentral:lncRNA from 1 species
CUUCUUCCUCCCACCAACCAACAACUAUCACCACCAGAUGACCACCACGGAUCAGCUCAACUCCAAAUAAUGAAACAAUAAACAGUGAACUCAAGGAAAUGCUUGUAAGUGUAAGAACAACGAAGAAGGGGGUGUAUAUGUUAAGGUUUAUAGUAUCAGGAUUGUUGGUAGUUAAGGGGUGUUAGUGGUUAAGAAAUCAUUAAUAAAUCAUUAAUAUGGUUUGACUUUUAUUAAAUGAAGGAGAAAAAUGUAAUUUUGGAGGUGUAGAGGGAAAGGGAUGAGGUUCAGGGAGAAGCACUCUGCAAUUUUUCCUUGAAACUACACCACUGAACAAAAAAAUAUGUGUAUUUUGAAAUACGGUUGUCUGUCCCACAGAAUAAAUUACAAAAGUUAACACAAAUUAUUAAAAAUAUU